GGGAGAUCAAAAUAGUCCCAUACUUGUCAUACUUGUCAUAAGAGGCGACAAAUAUGGUUGGGUUAGGUUGGCAGCCGCUGUACAGUUCUGUUAAACUCAAACAGAAUGAGGAGUUCUAAACGAGACUGGUGGAUUGUCUCGGAUGUAUGCGGGGAAAAUAGGUGAGAAGAGGUACCAUCGUGCAUGAUUUUUGUUGAUGAUAUUGCUUUCGUAGGAG